UACGUAGGGGGCUAGCGUUGUCCGGAAUCAUUGGGCGUAAAGAGCGUGUAGGCGGUCCGGUAAGUCCGCUGUGAAAGUCGGGGGGCUCAACCCUCGGAUGCCGGUGGAUACUGUCGGACUAGAGUACGGAAGAGGCGAGUGGAAUUCCUGGUGUAGCGGUGAAAUGCGCAGAUAUCAGGAGGAACACCGAUUGCGAAGGCAGCUCGCUGGGACGUUACUGACGCUGAGACGCGAAAGCGUGGGGAGCAAACAGG
rnacentral:rRNA from 1 species